rnacentral:rRNA from 1 species
CGUAGGGCGCAAGCGUUGUCCGGAAUUAUUGGGCGUAAAGAGCUUGUAGGUGGCUUGUCGCGUCUGCCGUGAAACCCGAGGCUUAACCUUGGGCGUGCGGUGGGUACGGGCAGGCUAGAGUGCGGUAGGGGAGACUGGAAUUCCUGGUGUAGCGGUGAAAUGCGCAGAUAUCAGGAGGAACACCGAUGGCGAAGGCAGGUCUCUGGGCCGUUACUGACACUGAGAAGCGAAAGCAUGGGGAGCGAACAGGAUU